rnacentral:lncRNA from 1 species
GCUCCAUUCCUACCGUUACAACCACAUGAACUCCUCCUGAGGAUUCCUGCUCUGGGGCAGGAAGGUGUCCUGCAGGAGCUGGUGCUCGGAGAGGGGGAGCCCCCAGAGCCUGGGGUCAGCGAGGAGCAGCGCCAGGCCCGGGAGGAGUGGGAGGCUCUGGAAGAGAUCCAGUCAGGUACUGGGGCUAACAGGGAAGGGGGAAAGGAGCCGCGGGCGGGUGGGGGUGAAGCUGGGGGGGGUUAUCUGGGAUGGAGGGGCAGGGGAGAGGCCGGCCGGUUCCCUUUGCCCCUUGUUCCCCAUGGCUUCGUUCUCC